rnacentral:rRNA from 1 species
GAAUUUUAUAUAAGUUUAAUAUGAGAUUUAGUACGAAAUUUAUUAAAUUUAUAUUUUAUUGGGAGGAUAGUUAAAUUAAAUAAACUUUAAAAAUAAAAAUCCAUUAAUUUAUGAAUUAGAUAUAUUGGAGUAAUAAGAAUUUUAAAUAGAAUUAAUUACCUUAGGGAUAACAGCGUUAUAUUUUUAGAGAGAUCUUAUUGAUAAAAAUGAUUGC